AGCCGCUGCCAGCCUCCCUUUGGGGUCCGAACGCCAAUUUGCGAAGUGCCGCCUCCUACUGAAACAGUUACGCGGAGACUGAAGUGAAGAGUUAUGCCGAUGGGUCAAGGAGGGACGAGGGACCAGCCGCACCCAGCACACACGACUUUGUGCAUCCACAUCAGUGCUGGCUCCUUUGAAGGGGAGUCACAGGCAUAUGGAGAGCACUAGAAACACCGUGGAAGAAAGAGGCAUGAAGAAGGAAACCCAUUCUCUGUCGAACUCGUGUCAUCCAUGUGCCACCAUGUUUUCAUGACCUCUAAAUUCAUCACUGAAGUUAAUCCUUACCUGACUAACCACUUGGUUUCCCAAUCCCAGAGGUACCUCAUUUCCUGAUUGGGCAAAGCUUGAGCUGUAAUCUUAUUCAGGUCAAAUGGCUGUUCUCUAGUACCAUCAUCUCAAGUGAAACCUCAACAUUACUGCCACAUUAUCUGCUUCAACAGGGGGGAGAUCAAUGGAGUCUUUCAUUAUAUACCUCCUCUGCUCACAGAACUGUGCUGGGAUUGUUGGCUCCUGUCAGAGACUAAAAAUCACUUUAUAAUGCCACUGUGUGAAGGCCAAACAUACAGAAAGUGCAAUAAAACUGCCUGGAAUGGGAGGGAAGGUGAUACCAGAAUACAACUGAACAGCUCAAACUGAGAACACUGCUGUUUUUCCCAGGAUUAUGUCUCAGAGGUGUGAAGAACGAAGCCAGCAGACAAGAGUACUGAGCAACCAGCAAAGCUCUUUUAAUGAGUGAAAGGAGAACACUAAGACUACUCAGGAGGGCUCGGCAGAUGCGUGAGGGUUGUGGGGUCUGUAGUUUAUAUUGCCUACAGAGAAGAGGAAGUCCCACCCUCCCCAGACCAAACAGAGAGCUGAACUAAUGACAUCACAACCCACUCUUGAUUGGCUGAAAGUAAAAUGCUUCAUUUGCAUAGGGCAUAACCAAUCAGAACUGAAGUCUAUCUAAAUAAGUGUAUUUCUGAAUGGCUGAGUUUGAUUGGAGGGUAUUUUUUUAAACUUACAAGGGUUUUGAAAAUUACAAGGGCCCUGAAGCUUCUUGAAACUUACAAGGACCUUGAAACAUACAGAAACCCUGAACUCUAUCUGCCUACAUUCCUCUAUCACCUGCCUCAAUAUGAAUGUAUUACUUUAAUAAACAUUUAAAAAAUAAUAUUAAAAAUUAAAAAUAGAACAUGUUUGUUAUGCUUCAGAAGAUCGGAGACUGAUGAGAAUUAGGCUUGGGGUGGAUUAAUGAUUGUGCAUUGAGUCCCCUAUACAG